rnacentral:rRNA from 1 species
UACGUAGGGUGCAAGCGUUGUCCGGAAUUAUUGGGCGUAAAGCGCGUGUAGGCGGCUUGUUAAGUCGGGUGUGAAAGCCCUCAGCUCAACUGAGGAAGGGCGCCCGAAACUGGCGAGCUUGAGUGUCGGAGAGGAUGGCGGAAUACCCCAAGUAGAGGUGAAAUUCGUAGAUAUGGGGUGGAACACCGGUGGCGAAGGCGGCCAUCUGGACGACAACUGACGCUGAGACGCGAAAGCGUGGGGAGCAAACAGG